rnacentral:rRNA from 2 species
CGCAGCUACCUGUGUGAAAUCGUGUGAACUGCAGGACACAUGAACAUCGACAUUUUGAACGCACAUUGCGGUCCAUGCUAAUGUUUAACUUGUUAGACUGCAUGGACCACGUAUGGUUGAGUGUCGUAAAU